rnacentral:rRNA from 1 species
AUUGAACGCUGGCGGCAGGCCUAACACAUGCAAGUCGAGCGGCAGCGGGACCUUCGGGUGCCGGCGAGCGGCGGACGGGUGAGUAAUGCCUAGGAAUCUGCCUGUUAGUGGGGGAUAACGCGGGGAAACUCGCGCUAAUACCGCAUACGUCCUACGGGAGAAAGCGGGGGCUCUUCGGACCUCGCGCUAACAGAUGAGCCUAGGUCGGAUUAGCUAGUUGGUGGGGUGAUGGCCCACCAAGGCGACGAUCCGUAACUGGUCUGAGAGGAUGAUCAGUCACACUGGAACUGAGACACGGUCCAGACUCCUACGGGAGGCAGCAGUGGGGAAUAUUGGACAAUGGGCGAAAGCCUGAUCCAGCCAUGCCGCGUGUGUGAAGAAGGUCUUCGGAUUGUAAAGCACUUUAAGUCGGGAGGAAGGGCUGUAGGCUAAUACCUUGCAGUUUUGACGUUACCGACAGAAUUAGCACCGGCUAACUUCGUGCCAGCCGCCGCGGUAACAC